rnacentral:rRNA from 1 species
GACGAACGCUGGCGGCGUGCUUAACACAUGCAAGUCGAACGAAGUGGCGAACGGGUGAGUAACGCGUAAUCAACCUGCCCUUCAGAGGGGGAUAACAGUUGGAAACGACUGCUACUACCGCAUACUGAAGGAGUGGUUUGCGUCUGAUUAGCUAGUUGGAGGGGAAACGGCCCACUAAUGCGAUGAUCAGUAGCCGGUCUGAGAGGAUGAACGACCACAUUGGGACUGAGAAACGGCCCAGACUCCUACGGGAAGCAGCAGUGGGGAAACUUCCGAAAGGGACGAAAGUCUGAAGGAGCAACGCCGCGGGGGUGAUGACGGCCUUCGGGUUGUAAAGCUCUGUUAAUCGGGACGCGGUACCGGAAUAGAAAGCCACGGCUAACUACGUGCCAGCCGCCGCGGUAAUUC